AGAACGAACGCUGGCGGCAGGCCUCAAACAUGCAAGUCUAGGGGGUGUAGCAAUACAUCACCGGCGGACGGGUGCGUAACACGUGGGAAUGUACCUACUGGUUCGGAACAACGCAGGGAAACUUGCGCUAAUACCGAAUAAGCCCGAAAGGGGAAGAUUUAUCGCCAGUAGAUCAGCCCGCGUAGGAUUAGCUAGUUGGUGGGGUAAUGGCCCACCAAGGCUCCGAUCCUUAGCUGUUCUGAGAGGAAGAUCAGCCACACUGGGACUGAGACACGGCCCAGACUCCUACGGGAGGCAGCAGUUGGGAAUCUUGGACAAUGGGGAAACCCUGAUCCAGCCAUGCCGCGUGAGUGAUGAAGGCCUUCGGGUUGUAAACUGCUUUUAUAUGUGAAGAUUAUGACGGUAGCAUAUGAAUAAGGAUCGGCUAACUCCGUGCCAGCAGCCGC
rnacentral:rRNA from 1 species